CUAACCUGCCCAAUGAGGAAUUGAAUGGCCGCAGUAUUCUAACUGUGCUAAGGUAGCAUAAUCAUUUGUCUUUUAAUUGAGGGCUGGAAUGAAAGGUUGGACGAGGUAUUAACUUUCUUUAGUUUAUUUAUAUGAAUUUAAUUUUUAAGUUAAAAAGCUUAAAUUUAUUUGUUGGACGAGAAGACCCUAUAGAUCUUUAUAAUUAUAUAUUUUAAUAAUAUAGGGAUUAUUUUAUUUAAAGUAAAAAAAUUAUUUUGUUGGGGUGACUGUAGAAUUUAUAUAACUUCUAUUUAUUUAUAUCAUUUAUUAAUGUUUUUUUGAUCCAUAAAUUUAUGAU
rnacentral:rRNA from 1 species